rnacentral:tRNA from 1 species
GCGGGAGUGGUGGAAUUGGCAGACACGCAGGAUUUAGGUUCCUGUGCCGCAAGGCGUGAGGGUUCAAGUCCCUUUUCCCGCA